GUGAAACCGCGAAAGGCUCAUUAAAUCAGUUAUGGUUCCUUAGAUCGUACCCACAUUUACUUGGAUAACUGUGGUAAUUCUAGAGCUAAUACAUGCAAACAGAGCUCCGACCGGAGACGGAAGGAGUGCUUUUAUUAGAUCAAAACCAAUCGGCGGGAAUAGCAUUUCGGUGUUAUUUUUCGUCGCACUGUUUGGUGACUCUGAAUAACUUUUGGCUGAUCGCACGGUCUUGCACCGGCGACGCAUCUUUCAAAUGUCUGCCUUAUCAACUGUCGAUGGUAGGUUCUGCGCCUACCAUGGUUGUAACGGGUAACGGGGAAUCAGGGUUCGAUUCCGGAGAGGGAGCCUGAGAAACGGCUACCACAUCCAAGGAAGGCAGCAGGCGCGCAAAUUACCCACUCCCGGCACGGGGAGGUAGUGACGAAAAAUAACGAUACGGGACUCAUCCGAGGCCCCGUAAUCGGAAUGAGUACACUUUAAAUCCUUUAACAAGGACCAAUUGGAGGGUAAGUCUGGUGCCAGCAGCCGCGGUAAUUCCAGCUCCAAUAGCGUAUAUUAAAGUUGUUGCGGUUAAAAAGCUCGUAGUUGAAUCUGUGUUCCGCGCUGUCGGUUCACCGCCCGCGGUGUUAACUGGCACGUCUCGCGGAACGUCCUGCCGGUGGAUGUGAGAAUUUUUGUAUACUUCCCCUAAUGUAUUAUGCGUGUGCAAAUUAUUGUUUUAUAUAGUUCUUGGUAUUUAUAAAUAAAUCCAUUGUGGUUUAUUUAUUAUGCUAUCCUAUAUUUUGACAUUUUUUGUUACUGUAUAGUGCUAUUAGGUUCAGGAGUUACAAAUCAAUCCAUAUCCGACUUAUAAAAUCCUGUCGCGGUGCUCUUAACUGAGUGUCGAGGCGGGCCGGCACGUUUACUUUGAACAAAUUAGAGUGCUCAAAGCAGGCUAAAAUUUCGCCUGAAUACUGUGUGCAUGGAAUAAUGGAACAGGACCUCGGUUCUAUUUUGUUGGUUUUCGGAACCCCGAGGUAAUGAUUAAUAGGGACAGAUGGGGGCAUUCGUAUUGCGACGUUAGAGGUGAAAUUCUUGGAUCGUCGCAAGACGGACAGAAGCGAAAGCAUUUGCCAAAAAUGUUUUCAUUAAUCAAGAACGAAAGUCAGAGGUUCGAAGGCGAUCAGAUACCGCCCUAGUUCUGACCAUAAACGAUGCCAGCUAGCGAUCCGCCGACGUUCCUCCGAUGACUCGGCGGGCAGCUUCCGGGAAACCAAAGCUUUUGGGUUCCGGGGGAAGUAUGGUUGCAAAGCUGAAACUUAAAGGAAUUGACGGAAGGGCACCACCAGGAGUGGAGCCUGCGGCUUAAUUUGACUCAACACGGGAAACCUCACCAGGCCCGGACACCGGAAGGAUUGACAGAUUGAGAGCUCUUUCUUGAUUCGGUGGGUGGUGGUGCAUGGCCGUUCUUAGUUGGUGGAGUGAUUUGUCUGGUUAAUUCCGAUAACGAACGAGACUCUAGCCUGCUAACUAGGCGUUACUUACCGGUAUCCUGAAGGCUCGUGUCUUUCGUUUCCUGGCAUGCAUUUUUGUGUGGUGUAUCAUUGUUUCGGCAGUGUGCAUUUGCACGGUGUAUGUUCAGUGCGAAAGUUCACGGUUUUUACUACCGGCGUACAUAUAAAUCUUCUUAGAGGGACAGGCGGCUCUUAGCCGCACGAGAUUGAGCAAUAACAGGUCAGUGAUGCCCUUAGAUGUUCUGGGCCGCACGCGCGCUACACUGAAGGAAUCAGCGUGUCUUCCCUGGCCGAACGGUCCGGGUAACCCGCUGAACCUCCUUCGUGCUAGGGAUUGGGGCUUGCAAUUUUUCCCCAUGAACGAGGAAUUCCCAGUAAGCGCGAGUCAUAAGCUCGCGUUGAUUAAGUCCCUGCCCUUUGUACACACCGCCCGUCGCUACUACCGAUUGAAUGAUUUAGUGAGGUCUUCGGACUGGUACGCGG
rnacentral:rRNA from 1 species